rnacentral:rRNA from 1 species
CUACGGGUGGCACCAGUCGAGAAUCUUCCGCAAUGGGCGAAAGCCUGACGGAGCGACACAGCGUGAUUGACGAAGCUCUUCGGAGUGUAAAAAUCUUUUAUGAGUGAAGAAGUUUAUUGACAUUAGCUCAUGAAUAAGGGGUUGCUAAACUCGUGCCAGCAGCAGCGGUAAUACGAGUGCCCCGAGCGUUAUCCGGAAUUAUUGGGCGUAAAGCGUGUGUAGGUGGUUUUGUUAGUCUUUUGUUAAAGCUCCGGGCUCAACUCGGAAUCUGCAAGAGAAACGGCAAAACUAGAGAGUGUGAGGGGUUAAUGGAACUCAUAGUGUAGGGGUGAAAUCCGUUGAUAUUAUGGGGAACACCAAAAGCGAAGGCAAUUAACUGGCACAUUUCUGACACUGAGACACGAAAGCGUGGGUAGCGAAUGGGAUUAGAUACCCCUGUAGUC